CCUACGGGGUGCAGCAGUGGGGAAUAUUGGACAAUGGGCGAAAGCCUGAUCCAGCCAUGCCGCGUGUGUGAAGAAGGCCUUCGGGUUGUAAAGCACUUUCAGUGGGGAAGAAAGCCUUGGGGCUAAUACCCUCGAGGAAGGACAUCACCCACAGAAGAAGCACCGGCUAACCCCGUGCCAGCAGCCGCGGUAAUACGGAGGGUGCGAGCGUUAAUCGGAAUUACUGGGCGUAAAGCGCGCGUAGGCGGUCUGAUAAGCCGGUUGUGAAAGCCCCGGGCUCAACCUGGGAACGGCAUCCGGAACUGUCAGGCUAGAGUGCAGGAGAGGAAGGUAGAAUUCCCGGUGUAGCGGUGAAAUGCGUAGAGAUCGGGAGGAAUACCAGUGGCGAAGGCGGCCUUCUGGACUGACACUGACGCUGAGGUGCGAAAGCGUGGGUAGCAAACAGGAUUAGAUACCCUGGUAGUC
rnacentral:rRNA from 1 species